CUGUUGUGGAUUCCCAGAUGAAUUGUGGACUGCAGCCGGCCAGAAGAAGUGCGUAGAGUUCAGGGACCUACUGCGGCCAACUCCAGCAUUGAAGGUAUGGGGUUGGACUGGCCUGGUUGCGUGGAAGAAGAGCAGACCGUCACCAGUAGGCAGCAGUUCUGUGAUGCACUGCGGUCAAUCCCUGACGUGCAGAUGAGGAGGUGUAUGCUGACCUGGAGGAUCCCAACAGCAGUCAAGAAGAGAA